rnacentral:rRNA from 1 species
GUGGGGAAUAUUGGACAAUGGGGGGAACCCUGAUCCAGCCAUGCCGCGUGUGUGAAGAAGGUCUUCGGAUUGUAAAGCACUUUAAGUUGGGAGGAAGGGCAGUAAGUUAAUACCUUGCUGUUUUGACGUUACCGACAGAAUAAGCACCGGCUAACUUCGUGCCAGCAGCCGCGGUAAUACGAAGGGUGCAAGCGUUAAUCGGAAUUACUGGGCGUAAAGCGCGCGUAGGUGGUUCGUUAAGUUGGAUGUGAAAGCCCCGGGCUCAACCUGGGAACUGCAUCCAAAACUGGCGAGCUAGAGUACGGUAGAGGGUGGUGGAAUUUCCUGUGUAGCGGUGAAAUGCGUAGAUAUAGGAAGGAACACCAGUGGCGAAGGCGACCACCUGGACUGAUACUGACACUGAGGUGCGAAAGCGUGGGGAGCAAACAGGAUUAGAUACCCCUGUAGUCC